rnacentral:lncRNA from 1 species
CUCAAAGUCCUCAGUUCAAGCUAUUUGCCAGUCUCAGCCUCCCAAAGUGCUGGGAUUACAGCCAUGGCGCCCAGCAGGUAUUUGUUUAAAUUACUCCUAUCACUGUAAAACCUAACAGGUGGGGCAGAGGCAAAGACAUCCAUUAUAAAUCUUAUCAUAUCUGUUCUUUCUUAUCAAACCUAAAAUAGGCUGUCCUUUAUGUGAUAAAUUAUUGGGCUCUGUUUAUCUCUCUUAUAACCUCUCUCUCUCUGUUAAUUCUCCCCCCAAACAUCUACCUUAAAUCCUCAUUUAUUUUCCCUUUCCAGAAUGGAGGGUGGGGCUAAUCAUAGCAAAAUGUUUUUCACCAACCCUUCAUUCAAGAUGUUAUCAGAACCCACACACUUCUCUGCCCACACUUCAGCCCUCCAUCCCCAAAACAAACAAAAACCACACAAACUGGGUUUACGCAGGCAUGCAACAGAAUACAUCCCGAGAAGGGAAAGAAAUCUAUCUGCUCAGUUUAGUUAACUAGAGUUCUUCACUUUCUAAUUUAAAGAUCACAUUAAAACUGGCCAGUUGAUAACACACGUGGGAAUAACAAUGUCAGAGCAGGUAGAAGAGAAUGAAAAAUGUGAAAUACAUGGUGGGCUCUCGGGUCCCCAUCUCUACUCUUAAUCCCUAACAAAAUUCCUG